CCCAGCUGCAGGCGGAACAGCAGGUGCCUCCGAGUUCUGACACAGGAGCAUCACCUCUCAGGAGGGGCCAGGAUCAGGUGCUUAAGGCGCCUUUUCAGCUGCUGCCACAAGGUGGCCCCCCAGCAAGGCCCAGAGCAGCCCGUGGCGCCAGUUCUGCUGCGGUUCCCCAUCCCUUCCCCAGGGGUGAGUAUCGGAGAAAACAAGAGCAGGGACUGGAUCCCUCAGACCUGCCCCCCACU